rnacentral:rRNA from 1 species
AUUGAACGCUGGCGGCAUGCCUUACACAUGCCAGUCGAACGGCAGCACGGGUGCUUGCACCUGGUGGCGAGUGGCGAACGGGUGAGUAAUACAUCGGAACAUGUCCUGUAGUGGGGGAUAGCCCGGCGAAAGCCGGAUUAAUACCGCAUACGAUCCACUGAUGAAAGCGGGGGCCCUUCGGGCCUCGCGCUAUAGGGUUGGCCGAUGGCUGAUUAGCUAGUUGGUGGGGUAAAGGCCUACCAAGGCGACGAUCAGUAGCUGGUCUGAGAGGACGACCAGCCACACUGGGACUGAGACACGGCCCAGACUCCUACGGGAGGCAGCAGUGGGGAAUUUUGGACAAUGGGCGAAAGCCUGAUCCAGCAAUGCCGCGUGUGUGAAGAAGGACUUCGGGUUGUAAAGCACUUUUGUCCGGAAAGAAAUCCUUGACUCUAAUACAGUCGGGGGAUGACGGUACCGGAAGAAUAAGCACCGGCUAACUACGUG